ACAUCUUUGUAAAUAUCAUUCGAAAUUAAAAUUUGACAUCUAAUAAUGAAAUCUGUGAUUUUAGGUAGCUGCCACCAUAUGUAAAGAAAAUCGGAGAUUUUCAGGACAGCUACCGGCUGAUGUGGCGUGGAAUUGCUCUGUACUUCUAAUCAAUUGGUCUCUUUUUCAGAAGUAUUACUAAAGUGGAUGCAUAAGACUAUAAAAGCUGUGGUCGGUUGGACACGUCGUGAGGAUGUCGGACGACAAUCCAGUUAAAAACAUACUUUUCAGUAACUCUUCCGUUACUAGGAACCGAGAAACACAACAUGCACGAUGGCUCGACCAGAUCAAAAGUGACUUACAAGUGAUGAGACGCCUAGGACCUCGGCGGCAAUCAGCCCAGAACCGAGUUGAAUGAAGACGAAUUUUUGAUACAACAAGAAUCACCCUAGGUCUAGCCGGUUAGCCGUUUACCGAUUAUGCUCUCGUGCUACGAAAAGGGACCGAUGGUACGACUAAUUUCGAUUGUUCCCAUCCCCACCAGGACGAACGAGGACACCGUUGCUAAAAAUUGCCUCAUGUUUACUGAAAUGUUUUCUCUGAGCACUUCCACAUACUAUGCUACCCGAUUUGACUCUGCUGGAAUAUAAAUGAGUGUAUGUUACGUAAUAUUUGAACGUUGCUGUUGUCCAAACGAUGAACUGUUGAUAUGAAUGCUCGGAGGAAACAAAUAUGAGGAGAGAAGGUAGCGAAAGCUAAUUGAAAUAGCAUUCGUAGCGUGCAAGACAAACUGUCAUAAUAAAAUCAUAAAUCAGCUGAACUUUUUUGCCUCCUCGUCGUUGUAAGUUAUUUGGUCCAGAUUCCAGAGAUGACCCCGAUGGAUUUCCAAUUAUUAUCGGAUUCGGAACCUUGCACUUCGGAUGCUGAUCAGGAAUAGUGAUGCACCAAUUGCCGUACCAGUGUAAAUGCGUGUGUGCAGGCGCAAUGGACCGAAAACUGUCGAGUUCGUACGCCUAAAAUUAUGCAGCGUUGGUCCAUGCAUACACUCUACACCAAAGGAGAUAAAUUAAAAUGCCAUAGAGUCUAUGUUCGUUCCGGCCGAACCCAUUUGUAUCCUCACGAAGGAUGGCUGCCAGGGAUACCUUCUCAUCAGAGAAAUGGAAUGUGCCCAGACGUACAGAGCUACACCCUACCAGAAAUUCCAUGCAUGUAUGUCUAUCUGAAACAAAGGGAAGCACGCAGAGUAGGCAAGCGCCACCUUCAUAUAUUUAAAAUAAUAAAGUCGAGUUCGAGCGUGUUUAUUAAAUAUA